AUUGAACGCUGGCGGCAGGCCUAACACAUGCAAGUCGAGCGGAUGAAGGGAGCUUGCUCCUGGAUUCAGCGGCGGACGGGUGAGUAAUGCCUAGGAAUCUGCCUGGUAGCGGGUGAUAACGUCCGGAAACGGGCGCUAAUACCGCAUAAGUCCUGAGGGAGAAAGUGGGGGAUCUUCGGACCUCCCGCCAUCAGAUGAGCCUAGGUCGGAUUAGCUAGUUGGUGGGGUAAAGGCCUACCAAGCCGACGAUCCGUAACUGGUCUGAGAGGAUGAUCAGUCACACUGGAACUGAGAAACGGUCCAGACUCCUACGGGAGGCAGCAGUGGGGAAUAUUGGACAAUGGGCGAAAGCCUGAUCCAGCCAUGCCGCGUGUGUGAAGAAGGUCUUCGGAUUGUAAAGCACUUUAAGUUGGGAGGAAGGGCAGUAAGUUAAUACCUUGCUGUUUUGACGGUACCAACAGAAUAAGCACCGGCUAACUUCGUG
rnacentral:rRNA from 1 species